rnacentral:lncRNA from 1 species
GAUGAGCAGAGUCCAAGGAGGGAUGUGAAGGUAUCCCUGCUGAAGCAGCCGCGUACCAGCCCACCAUCCUGAAAAAAGAAGCUGUUUCAGAGCUGCCCACUCUAAAGGCCAAACCCCUCCUAAAGCUAAUUGCUGCAGAGAUCUCAGCAGAGAUCAUUUGGCCCAAGCUGUGGGAUUAUCUGUGGAUUUUACUGUUUUAUUAAAA